GAGCAGCUGUGGACUCGCAGCUGUUCAAACUUGUCAACUUCAGACUGCAGCUUUAAGCUUUCGCAACUGCGAUAAUGUAUCAUGGAAACUUAAAAUAGUAAGUAAGAAGUCCGAAUAAAUAAUUUUCUUCGUUAAAUUCCUCAACAAAAACUCUUAAGAAGCAACAAUGGAGGCGAAACCCUUCGGAAAUGAACUUCUUGUUUUGGCCAAAGAGGGACGUUUGUCUAACAUUCAGGAGCUUCUUCAGCGGAGAAGCCACCACGACGCCCCUCUGGACAUCAACUGCAGGUCCGCAACUAAAGAGCACUCGGGAUGGACGCCGCUGCACCUCGCCUGCUUCUUUGGACACAGGGAUGUGGUGGAGGAGAUUCUGAAGGCAGGAGCUGCUGUGAACCUGCAAGAUAACAUGGGCGAAACUUCGCUCCACAAAGCAGCCAGCACUGGAAGAAAGGAGAUAGUUCUUCUGCUGCUGCGCUACGAUGCCUCUGCCAGCAUCAUCAAUGGGACGGCACAAAUCGCCAAAGAUGUGACGGACGAUGAUGAAAUAAUCACUAUGCUCGAGGCUGCUGAAAGAAGAGAGGCGAGACGGCGGGAGGAGAAGCUUCUGGAGGCAGCCAGGGAGGGAGACAUCAGCGGCCUGAGCAAACUGCUCAGCAGCAGUGAAGCUCCAGACAUAAACUGCAGAGACUCGGUGGGAAACACGCCGUUGCAUUGUGCUGCCUACAGGGGGCAGAGGCAGUGCAUCAUAAAGCUGCUCAAGUCUGGAGCGUGUCCAAAUAUGAAAAACAAUAAUGAGCAGACGGCGGCAGAUCUGGUCCGAGCUGAUGACAUCAGACAAAUACUAGCCGCAUAUCAACUCAAGGAAGAGAGCAGUGUGGUGCAGAAGAUUGAAGGGCCGCUGUGGAAGAUGUCACGCUUCCUUGGAUGGCGUCUUCACUGGGUGGUGAUUGAGGAUGGGACACUCUCCUGGUACCCCAAGCAGACUGAUGCAGUUGCUGGUGUCAAAAAACAAGGCACCAAGUCUCUCUCUCAGGCCUACUGCAUGGUCAAACCCUGGGAUCAUUGCUUCUUCAUGCUCCGCUGCUGCGAUGACUCGCUGCACAAUUUCAAAGUUCCUUCCAAGGUUGAUUCAGUGGCAACAAGAAAAAAAUGGCUUGACGCCUUUGAAGCCCAUUCUUCGUACAGCACCCGGAACAGCUCCCUGUGCCAGAUUACAGAUGACAUGGUUCCAAACAGCAGCACGGCGGUGGAGAGUCUCACUCAAGCCUUGCAGGCAGCCAUCGUUCACCAGCAGAAACUGGAGAGUGAAGUGUCAAUAUUCCUCACCAUGGUGAAGAAUGAAGACCAUUGUGCACUGGCUGCUCCUCUCCUAUUAAAAGCCAAAGAAACAAGUGAGCUCUCAUCAGAAACCUGUGCUGCCCUGCAUCUCUGCCUGGAGCUGCUGUCGAAGCAGGAGGAGGUGUGGAGCCUGAAGUUGGAGCAGGAGGAGGAGAAGAAUAAGGCUCUGAGUGAAGCUCUGCAGACGUUGGCCACCGAACAUCACGAGCUCAAGCAGUGCCUGAGUAAGAGCAGGAGGUCAUCCACUCUCAGCACCUUCACUGGAGAGGAGUUCUAUGAUGCUCUGUCAGAGUCGGAGUCGGAGCUGUCUGUGAGCGGCUUCCUGUCCGUGUCCUGUGAAGAGGACGAGGGGAGAGACGCCCCUCUUCUCAGCCGCCGCCCCCCCAGCGUGCACAAGGGGGCCACCGGAAUGUCUGGGGACGGUAACCAUGGCAACAACCCAUCCCAGUACAAUGGAGUGAAGGAGCACAGACUGUGUCUUCCGGCUCCCAUGUUCUCCCGGAACGACGUCAGCAUCUGGAGCAUUUUGAAAAAAUGCAUUGGCAUGGAGCUGUCGAAGAUCGCCAUGCCGGUGAUCUUCAACGAGCCUCUGAGUUUCCUGCAGCGGUUAACAGAGUACAUGGAGCACACCUCCCUCAUCCACCAGGCCAACGCUGCCACCGACUCUGUGGAGAGAAUGAAGUGUGUGGCAGCGUUUGCUGUGUCUGCAGUGGCAUCACAGUGGGAGCGGACUGGGAAGCCCUUCAAUCCACUGCUUGGAGAGACUUUUGAGCUCAUUCGAGACGACUUGGGCUUCAGGUGGGUGUCAGAGCAAGUCAGUCAUCACCCUCCUGUCAGUGCCUUUCAAGCCGAGGGCCUCAAGGAGGACUUUGUCUUCCACGGUUCCAUCUGUCCCAAACUCAAGUUCUGGGGGAAAAGCAUCGAGGCUGAGCCAAAAGGAAUCAUCACGCUGGAGCUUCCAAAAUAUAAUGAAGCCUACACCUGGACUAACCCCACAUGCUGCGUCCACAACAUCAUCGUAGGCCAGCUUUGGAUCGAGCAGUACGGCAACGUGGAAGUCAUCAACCACAAGACUGGAGAAAGAUGCAGUAUGACAUUCAAGCCUUGUGGUCUCUUCGGGAAAGACCUGCACAAGGUUGAAGGCUACAUUCUGGAUAAAAGUAAAAAGAAGUUGUGUGCGAUCUACGGCAAGUGGACCGAGUGUCUGUACACGGUAGACACUGCUGCCUUCGAUGCUCACAAGAAGUCUGACAAGAAGAAUUUGGAGGAUAAAAAGACCAACAAACGGAGCACCGUCGAUCCGGAGCCGGAUGAGGUUCCCCCUCCGGACGCCGAGACGGUGCAGGUCAUACCAGGAAGUGAGCUCAUCUGGAAGAUCACUCCACGACCAGACAACUCUUCCAAGUUCUAUGCGUUUUCCACGUUUGCCAUGCAGCUGAAUCAGCUGGAGAAGAGCAUGGAGGGAAUCAUCCCGAGCACUGACAGCCGCCUCAGACCGGACAUACGAGCCAUGGAGAAUGGAGACAUUGACGUGGCCAGCGCGGAGAAGAAGAGGCUGGAGGAGAAGCAGCGGAUGGCCCGAAAGAAUCGCAGCAAGUCGAGCGAGGAGUGGAAGACCAGGUGGUUCCAGCAGGGGCCCAACCCUCACAACAAAGCUCAGGACUGGCUCUACUUGAAAGGCUAUUGGGAGCGGAGCUACACGCAGCUGCCGGAUAUCUACUAAGACGCAGAACAAACAAGCGGGUAGCAAACAUUUGGAUUCUUGUUUUACCUCUGUUGUUUUUAUCAGGAGGCGUGGCGGUGUGGGAUGCUGUAGAAUAGUGUAAAAAGAACCCACCUGUGGGGCGACAAAAGCACAAACCAGCGGCGUAGUUGUUGAUCUGAGCCGCCCGAGCGUCCUGGAAGGCUGUCGCUGAACGACUGGAAUGUCAUUUCCGGCUCAUAAAUGCUCCAGGAAAAGACUUGAAACUCAUGGAGUGUAAAUACAUCUACAUUGUAGCGCCUUCAAAGUAGCUAUAGAAACGUGUGUCUGUGUGUUAAGGCUAUGCCAAAGUUAUUUAUAGUUUGAUUGUAUGUAGUAUUGAAUCUUAAUAUCACUGUAACUAUGCAAGCCUCAGACGUCCAGUUCAGGUGUGGACAGUAGCCGCUGUAGUCUCCUCUUAAGUACCGAAAUAAACUCUGGGUUUUAAAUGACUGACUUGUAUUUUAGUUUGGUCACUUAAUGUAGCAUGUUAAAGCUCAUCGUCUUAGAACUUUUUUCCUUUUAGUUGUUCUGUAAUGUUAAGUCAUACUCUUUAAAGCAGUUUCCCAGCAACUGAAGAACACAUUUUAAAUACAAAGAAGAAACAUUUUUAGUGUGUCAUGGCAUGUUUUUAACAGAUUUGACCUUUUUUUCUUUCCCUUUUGUCUUUCUGAUCAGUUGAAACCAGAAGGGCACAGCUCUUCCUCCAUGUUUGUAGUCCUUGACAGUCAUUCACUGUAAAAGCGCUUUGAGUCAGGCGGCCAUUUUGCAAACUUUAACUUGUUAGAACUUUCAAACUCCAUUAAUAUCUAUGAAUUACAUGAGGAGUAAAUUGAGCUCCUGCACGUCGGCCCCUCCCAACAGUCCUGAAAGUCCCGUGGCCCUUUAGAAUUCAACUGCCGUCCUGUCACAGUCUGUAAACCCAACACUAAAUUGAAAAUAAAAUGAAAUAUGAUGAAAUAACUUACUUUAAUUCUCUUAAAAAAAACAGUCUCCACUGUACACAAUUUCCACUUAAAGUCUCAUAGCGGGUGAAGUGAACCAAUAAAAGCCUCUGUAGAGCAGAAAUAUAAGAAUCCAACACUGAGAUAAAAAAUAACUUUGGCUCAGCUAAAACCCCACGUGGCGCCAUGUUGUCUAAGAGAGACGAAUGAAAUCUGUCCGGGAGUGAACUGUGGCUCUCGCUGGUCUUCCCUGGCAGACCGGGUGUCAAGGUGGGGCUGUGCUUUUCUUGGUGGCCAGGGCGGAGUGGAUACGCACGUGCAGCCUGUUCUCAAAGUCGUAGCCCGCAAAGUCCUCCUGAGAAACACAAGCCACAAACCUCUCACUCGCUGCUCAUGAUGAGUUAUGAAGGUUAAUACUGCAGAAGUCAAGUUUUUACCAGGUACUUUUUUUUUUUUUUUUAAAUCAACUUGUACUGUGACUGGUGGUUAUAGUACAAGAUCCGUGUCAUAUUACCUUAUUUCUAACAGUAUUUGGGCUACUUUGUCGCAAGGGUAAGUACAUGUAGUUUAGCCUGGUAGUACCACAAACUAGCCACCGUGAUAUCCAGACUAUAAGACGCUACUUUCUUCUCACACUCUGAACCAUGUGUCUUAAACAAUGUUUCAUGCUGCCAAGAUAUUGCGUUUGACCGCAAGGUCACAGGCGUUUUAUGAACACUGAAGCGCUCAAAGUGCAGUUUUUUCCCAUGUGUAUUACUUCUUGCCACACCACAGUCCAGAAGUGGCCCAGAGUUAGCACAUUUUAACGUAAAGUAAAACUGUAAUUUUUGAUGCACCUUCAGAACGUCGCAAGUUUGUUUUUAUCAUCAGUUUUCAAAACUAGUUUGAAGGUGAUGCGGCCGCGUUUUUAGGGUGGUACAAGGAAAUGAGUGACCAGUCGGGUGAGCCACGACUGGAGCUGGCACUUCAUGACAGAUGAUGAUGGAGAGUGUGAGACUUGCUUGGAAGCUUGAAUGAGCUCAAACUCAUGCGACUACCCAGGACUGUUGCUCGAAUCUUGAAAAGUUAAACUCCAAAAAUGCCCUCAAAAGCAGUUGAAUGAAAUGAUCUCUCCCUUAAACUGUAUUCUACUAGUGUAACCAGUCAACUGAAUGAUAAAUAACCAGCUAAAGUCACAAAGUGGAACCAACCUUGGCCUGCAGCAUUAGCGUCCAUCCUCUGUCUGCUGACUGGAAGACAAAAAAACAGUCAUGUUGUCAGUGUUCUGGGGCGGAGCAGCCGGCUCUCGCUGUGACUCACCUCUGGGGUGGUGAGCAGCACGCAGCCCAGUUCGUAGCAGGCGUACGGCUGCACGUAGGAGUUGCUGAGGAGGCCCACCUCGUCCUGCGCCGCCAGCUGGAAGUACUGCACAGAGAGGAGCAUUAGAGUCUGAGGAAGGACGGGGACCGGCCUCCGCGCAGACGAGCAGCACCUGAGAGGCCUCUUUGGUGUUGGUCAGACAUUUGCUGAUGGCUCCAAGCAGCAGGUUCUUCAGCCCAGCACUGGAGAGGUCGUCCACACCCUGGAGGACUGAGAGCAACCAGUCAGCAGCAGCUUCUUCUCAACUCCUCUGACCCUGCAGUGGACGUCCAACCUUGCAUCAUGAUCUGCAGCUUGGCUGUGGAGCAGUUGGGCAGAGCCUUCCACAGAUACAGGACCUCGAUCAUGGACAGGACACACAGCUCUUUGGUGAGACUGGAGCUCCGCAGCUUCUCUGCCUGGAGAAAGGAUUUGCAGUGAAUUUGCAGCCAAAGACGGCGCAUUGACAACUCACCUUCUUCAUGGAAAACAACUCGAUCUGGUUAUUCCGCCGCCUGAAGAGCUUCUGGACGUCCCUGAACACAGCGAGCGCCCCCUGCAGGUCACCCGUGGCUCCCUGACAGACUGCACCAAGACGGAGAAAUGUCAGUGAGGAGGCGAGUUACACGCCGGGUCUGGACUCGUACCUCCAGUCAGGUAUGCGUAGUAGCACUGGGACCAUCGAGACUCCAUCUUCAGCCGUUCAAACGCUCGGUAGGCGUCGCCGUAGUUCAGCUCGAUCAUGCUGCACCAACCUGGAGAAGACAGAGACGCUUGAAAUGAAUGGUCUCCGUCGGCUCUGGAGAGCAGCAGCUGGACUGCUGUCCCCCAAUGAACAGAUGGAGAAGAAAGGCAGGACCAAUGUUUAUGGGCAUGUUCCAGGUGAUGAAACAAACUCAGCUCAACUCAUCUCAGUCAGAUGUUCCUGUACAAGCUUGAAUCGGAGGCUCCAGACAAAUGAGUGCAGUAGCACAGUAGAGAGACCAGUGGGUUGCUCUCUGGGGUGACGGGCUCACUUCAGUGUUGGCUGCUCUGAACCAACAUCCACAUUAAUCCAUCACCAUCACAUCACUCAUGGAGAGGAAGUCAAAAAAAGUCAAUCUAACAUUACAUUUCAAUCGUAACUUGUUAAAUAAAGACAACUAUGGAAGAUUCUUUUGUCUGGAGAGGGUUUUCUCUCUGUCCAGAACCAGAAAAUCUAACUAAGAUGCAUACAUUUUUGGGACUAAGACUUCCCAAAAGUAGGAAAUAAA